rnacentral:pre_miRNA from 1 species
AUCCGGGAUUAUUAAGAACAUGAUUUCAUUCUAUAUUUUCAUGUUCUUAUAAUCUCGAAUCU